rnacentral:sRNA from 1 species
UGGCAGUCCGUGUCCCACAAUGUCAGGGCUUGUGCAAGCCCAUGGUCAGCUGAACUCAUGAUGUCCAAGUGGAGCUGGUAUGCAACGUUGCUAACCCGGUUUCCCCUGCUCUCCCCAGAGGACCUUGUGCAGAUGCCUCCGACGCCCCCCAGCAGCCAUGGCAGCGACAGCGACGGCUCCCAGAGUCCCCGCUCUCUGCCCCCCUCCAGCCCUGUCAGGCCCAUGGCGCGCUCCUCCACGGCCAUCUCCACCUCCCCACUCCUCACUGCCCCUCACAAAUUACAGGGGACAUCAGGGCCACUGCUCCUGACAGAGGAGGAGAAGCGGACCCUGAUUGCUGAGGGCUACCCCAUCCCCACAAAACUCCCCCUCACCAAAGCCGAGGAGAAGGCCUUGAAGAGAGUCCGGAGGAAAAUCAAGAAUAAGAUCUCGGCCCAG